GAUGAAGAACGUAGCGAAAUGCGAUAAGUAAUGUGAAUUGCAGAAUUCAGUGAAUCAUCGAAUCUUUGAACGCAUCUUGCGCUCCUUGGUAUUCUGAGGAGCAUGCCUGUUUGAGUGUCAUUAAAUUCUCAACUACACUGACUUUGAAUUGGUGUGGCUUGGAUUUGGGGGGGAAAAUUGUUGUGGGCUUUUUGUAUAGUCUGCUCCCCUGAAAUUGAUUAGCGGUACCUUUGUGGAACUGUCUACAGGUGUGAUAAUUAUCUACAUCUUAGACAUCUGCUGGAAUGCUGCUUUCUAAACCUUACUUGUAUUGACAAUCUUGACCUCAAAUCAGGUAGGACUACCCGCUGAACUUAAGCAUAUCAAUAAGCGGAGGA
rnacentral:misc_RNA from 1 species